CACAGGCAAGUCUCUAUAGAGGAAGGAGAAAGCAUGUAAUGUUUAUUGAAACCAGUGCAAAAGCAGGCUUUAAUAUAAAGGCACUGUUUUGGAAAAUUGCUGCUGCUUUACCAGGAAUGGAAACACUCUCUUCAACAAAGCAAGAAGACAUGGUUGAUGUGAACUUGAAGUCUACUAGUGGUGGUGCAACACAAUCCCAGCCCCAGUCAGGUGGAUGCUCUUGUUGAGUGCGGCAUUGUUUUAAAAUUUCGAGCAACUAUGCUCUAUUUCUUGCUGUUUGGGUUUUCAGCCAUCUUCACCCCAGAUCUGUAAAGGUUUCACUUAGAUUCUUUUUUCCUUCAAAAUACUUCUUAUCGGUUAUAAUCGUUACUGCAUUGCUUGGGAAAUUCUCUUAGGGAACACAUGGGUCUGAAGAGCUAGGUGUAGAACUAGCAUUGGGGAAUUUGUUGUGUUGGUUAGAUGGUCAUAACCUCUGAGAUAUUUAGUAAGAUUUAUUGACUUGAAUAGAUUUUGGUAUUAAGCAUUUGUAAAAUGAAUAUUGGGUACAUUC